UGACAAAGUCCCGAGAUACUUAUUGAAACCUCUUCUCUCUCUCUCUCUCUCUCUCUCUAGAAAUUUCAUUCCAGUCUUCUCAACUUUCACCUAAUUGCUUCAAUCGUAUUUGAUUUGAGAUCAGACAUGGCAACAGAGCCCAAGGCAGCUACGGAAGAGGCUAAAAUCGAUCUCUUUGAAGACGAUAACGAGUUCGAAGAGUUUGAGAUCAAUCAAGAGGAGAACGAGAUGACACCUAUAUUGCCUAUGGAAUCCGUCAUGCCCGGUAACUCAACGGUGCUCCGCCGCCGUCCACACCGUGAGCCUCCAUUUCCGGUGGUGGUGGUCGACACCACCCGCUUCAAAACGUAGAGGACGACGUUGAGAUGCAAUGCCCUAAAGAAAUUUUGAGGAAGAUGCUUCUAUUUCUGAGAGUUAGCUGCUUGACUUGCUGUGUGGUAAGAUGACGUCUUUGGAUUGAAGGCUCCAGCUUAGAAGCGGUUUGUGUUACUCUAAAUUUGCAGUUUGUUUUUUUUUUUUUUUUUUUUUUUUUGAGUUGUAUUGUAUAAACUGUAUUGGUCGGCAUUGUCCCAGAAUUAUAUAUAAAUUUUGAGUUUAUAGAUUGUUUUGA